CGGCGAGUGAAGCGGCAACAGCUCAAAUUUGAAAUCUGGUUCCCUCGGGGCCCGAGUUGUAAUUUGUAGAAGAUGCUUCGGACGUGGGUGCCAGUCUAAGUUCCUUGGAACGGGACGUCGCAGAGGGUGAGAAUCCCGUAUGUGGCUGCGCGCUCACGCCUAUGUGAAGCUCUUUCGACGAGUCGAGUUGUUUGGGAAUGCAGCUCUAAAUGGGUGGUAAAUUUCAUCUAAAGCUAAAUACCGGCCAGAGACCGAUAGCGCACAAGUAGAGUGAUCGAAAGAUGAAAAGCACUUUGGAAAGAGAGUCAAACAGUACGUGAAAUUGUUGAAAGGGAAGCGCUUGCAACUAGACUUGCGCGCGGCCGAUCAUCUGGGGUUCUCUCCAGUGCACGCGGUCGCGCUCAGGCCAGCAUCAGCCCUGGCGGUUGGAUAAAGGCCGCGGGAAUGUGGCUCCUCUCGGGGAGUGUUAUAGCCCGUGGUGCCAUGCGACCCGCCGGGGCUGAGGACCGCGCUUUGGCUAGGAUGCUGGCGUAAUGGUUGCAAGCGACCCGUCUUGAAACACGGACCAAGGAGUCUAAUAUCUAUGCGAGUAUUUGGGUGUCAAACCCACGUGCGCAAUGAAAGUGAACGGAGGUAGGAGCCCGCGAGGGUGCACUACCGACCGAUCCUGAUGUCUUCGGAUGGAUUUGAGUAAGAGCAUAGCUAUUGGGACCCGAAAGAGAGUGAACUUUACGUGAAUAGGGUGAAGUCAGAGGAAACUCUGAUGGAGGCUCGCAGCGGUUCUGACGUGCAAAUCGAUCGUCGAAUUUGCGUAAAGGGGCGAAAGACUAAUCGAACUUU
rnacentral:rRNA from 1 species